UAUUAACUGGGGGGCAACCUGACCAGCACGCCGCGUGAGCGAAGAAGGCCUUCGGGUUGUAAAGCUCAAUAGUAUGGGAAGAUAAUGACGGUACCAUACGAAAGCCCCGGCUAACUACGUGCCAGCAGCCGCGGUAAUACGUAGGGGGCGAGCGUUGUCCGGAAUUACUGGGCGUAAAGAGCACGUAGGCGGCUAUAUAAGUCAGGUGUGAAAAACCUGGGCUUAACCGAGGGUAUGCAUCUGAAACUAUAUAGCUUGAGUCAAGGAGAGGAGAGCGGAAUUCCUGGUGUAGCGGUGAAAUGCGUAGAGAUCAGGAAGAAUACCAGUGGCGAAAGCGGCUCUCUGGACUUGAACUGACGCUGAGGUGCGAAAGCGUGGGGAGCAAACAGGAUUAUAUACCCUGGUAGUCCACGCCGUAAACGAUGGAUACUAGGUGUGGGUGAGGAAUCAACCGUGCCGGAGUUAACGCUAUAAGUU
rnacentral:rRNA from 1 species